rnacentral:rRNA from 1 species
AUUGAACGCUGGCGGAAUGCUUUACACAUGCAAGUCGAACGGUAGAGGGGCAACCCUUGAGAGUGGCGAACGGGUGAGUAAUGUAUCGGAACAUGCCCAGUCGUGGGGGAUAACGUAGCGAAAGUUACGCUAAUACCGCAUACGAUCUACGGAUGAAAGCGGGGGACUCGCGAGAGCCUCGCGCGAUUGGAGUGGCCGAUAUCAGAUUAGGUAGUUGGUAGGGUAAAAGCCUACCAAGCCGACGAUCUGUAGCUGGUCUGAGAGGACGACCAGCCACACUGGGACUGAGACACGGCCCAGACUCCUACGGGAGGCAGCAGUGGGGAAUUUUGGACAAUGGGCGCAAGCCUGAUCCAGCCAUUCCGCGUGCAGGAAGAAGGCCUUCGGGUUGUAAACUGCUUUUGUACGGAACGAAACGCGCUAGGUUAAUACCCUGGCGUAAUGACGGUACCGUAAGAAUAAGCACCGGCUAACUACGUGCCAGCAGCCGCGGUAAAAC